rnacentral:lncRNA from 1 species
CAGAAUGGGGCCCUGAAUCAGCUGUGGGCGAGCUCCUAGAGUAUCUUAAUUCCUGCUUCAUCUCUUUCCAUUUUGCAGUUGGGCAAACUGCGGCUCAGAAAGAUAAAGAACUUCUCCGGAGCGAAAAAGCUGCUAAGAAUGUAUCCAAAACUCCGCACGAAGUCUGGAACGUUUUUUCUUAGAGUUCCAGAAUUGAGACUGAAGUGUACCCAGAGACACAAAGAAAUACAGAAGUCCAGAAUGAUCAAAUGAGAUCACUACCCAAUGAAAUGAUGGGCCGAGGAGCCAGAAGUUGUCCUACUACCUGCUUUCCAGGUCCAGAUUCCACGAGAGCCUUCUGGGCUCCCACCAGAGACCCUCAGUGAAGACUCUGUUGAAGACUUUAAGACCAUGCUAGAAAGCCUCCCGGCAGAGGUUCAGGAAGUUCUGCUAUGAGGAUGCAGCUGGCCCCAGGGAUGUCCUCAGGCAUCUCUAGGACCUUGCUGGACGGUGGUGGCUGAGACCUGAUAUCCACACAAAGGAGCAGACUGUGGAAAUGCUGGUGCAGGAGCAAUUCCAGGCUGUCCUGCCCGAGGAGCUCAGAGCUCAAGCACAGAGAUGUCAGCCUGGAAUCAGAAUCACUGGCUAAGUCUUGCUGCUUGCUUCUUGCUCAGCCUGCAUAUGAGAAGUCAACCAAGCAUUCUCUUGGAUGCAAGAUCCAACUGCACCCAUGGGAAAUCUGAACUUCCACUUUCUUUGAGCUUGUCUUUGGUUGUAAUAAGAAUCCAUCAAAACCCAUGUCUGGAUCUCUCUUUGGCUGAGGCAGCUUUAUUUCCUACAGAAAGAGUUUCUCUGUCCUCUUGUUAGGACAAUCAGCCUGCUGCUUUGGGCUUUUCCAAGAGCCUAUUUUUCAUCUGCUGGAUGCCUCUUUUUUUUUUUUUUUUUUUUUUUGCACUGUGUGACAUGCUUUAAUAUAUAUAUUUUUUAUGUAUCCAAAGAGGUAAUCAACUUUAACUUUCAGAAUUCAUGAAUCUUGGUUUGGUGGCAUGAAUGAAAGGUUAUGUAACCCCACCAGUAACUCAUUUGGGGUGCCCUUGAAAUAUUAAAGUUUGGUCCUCAAUAA